rnacentral:lncRNA from 1 species
AAAUGUCAUUCCAUGUGAAAAUCCCCUAAUGGGAUACACGCAAGAGGAUACAGAAAGAGUACAAUAAUUCCGUUCCAUUCCAUUCCAACUUUGAGCAACCGGUGACUAAUAUCAAGUUGGACCUAGUCCAUAAUCAAGAUCUGGAUAGGGACCUGCACUUGUUCAGGAUCUGACUCGGGAUCGAACCCUCACCAUGGGCUAUUACCCCAAGUCACCCCCAAGUCAUCCCUUGCUGUACAACCCUAACCCCGAAAUCCCACGUCCGCUACCUCAGUCUCGUCGGCAACCACCUCGUGUGUAAGCUACCACUAAUUGGCCACUAAUUUGUUCAAGUGGCACCAAGUUCCAGCCCGCGCGGUGAGAAUAGGCGACAGCGCGCGCACCCGUCCGCCAUCGUGCCGGACCUACGAGAACGAUACCUUACUGGAUAUCGGAUGGUACCUUGCUCUUAGGCAUUGUUCGUAGCAACCAAUGC